CCGAAGUUUACAACUCCCAAACCCCUGUGAACAUACCUACUUGUUGCCUCGGCGGAUCAGCCCGCGCCCCGGUAAAACGGGACGGCCCGCCAGAGGACCCCUAAACUCUGUUUCUAUAUGUAACUUCUGAGUAAAACCAUAAAUAAAUCA
rnacentral:misc_RNA from 1 species